GACGUAGGGGGCGAGCGUUGUCCGGAUUUAUUGGGCGUAAAGCGUGCGUAGGCGGCUGCGCAAGUCGGUUGUGAAACCCCGGGGCUCAACCCCGGAACUGCAUCCGAUACUGCGUGGCUAGAGGUAGGUAGGGGAGAUCGGAAUUCCCGGUGUAGAGGUGAAAUUCGUAGAUAUCGGGAGGAACACCAGUGGCGAAGGCGGCGAUCUGGGUCGAUACUGACGCUGAGGUGGCGAAAGCGUGGGGAGCAAACAGG
rnacentral:rRNA from 1 species